GCUAAGAAUAUUCCGCAAUGGACGAAAGUCUGACGGAGCGACGCCGCGUGGAUGAGGAAGGCCGAAAGGUUGUAAAGUCCUUUUGUCGAUGAAGAAUAAGUGGUGGAGGGAAUGCCAUCAUGAUGACGUUAGUCGGCGAAUAAGCCCCGGCUAAUUACGUGCCAGCAGCCGCGGUAACACGUAAGGGGCAAGCGUUGUUCGGAAUUAUUGGGCGUAAAGGGUACGUAGGCGGUUAUGUAAGCCCGACGUGAAAUCCUGCAGCUUAACUGUAGAGCUGCGCUGGGAACUGCGUAACUUGAGUCAUGGAAGGGAAGUUAGAAUUCCAGGUGUAGGGGUGAAAUCUGUAGAUAUCUGGAAGAAUACCGGUGGCGAAGGCGAACUUCUGGCCAAUGACUGACGCUGAGGUACGAAAGUGCGGGGAGCAAACAGGAUUAGAAACCCCUGUAGUCC
rnacentral:rRNA from 1 species